rnacentral:tRNA from 1 species
UCCCUGGUGGCCUAGUGGUUAAGGUUUCGGUUUGUCAUUGCUGUGGUUCAGGUUCGGUCCCUGGCCUGGGAA